CCAGACUCCUACGGGAGGCAGCAGUGGGGAAUAUUGCACAAUGGGGGAAACCCUGAUGCAGCGACGCCGCGUGAAGGAUGAAGUGUUUCGGUAUGUAAACUUCUAUCAGCAGGGAAGAAAAUGACGGUACCUGACUAAGAAGCCCCGGCUAACUACGUGCCAGCAGCCGCGGUAAUACGUAGGGGGCAAGCGUUAUCCGGAUUUACUGGGUGUAAAGGGAGCGUAGACGGCAUGGCAAGUCUGAUGUGAAAACCCGGGGCUCAACCCCGGGACUGCUCUGGAAACUGUACGGCUGGAGUGCAGGAGAGGUAAGUGGAAUUCCUAGUGUAGCGGUGAAAUGCGUAGAUAUUAGGAGGAACACCAGUGGCGAAGGCGGCUUACUGGACUGUAACUGACGUUGAGGCUCGAAAGCGUGGGGAGCAAACAGGAUUAGAUACCCGUGUA
rnacentral:rRNA from 1 species